rnacentral:tRNA from 1 species
GCGGCUGUAGUCUAGUCUGGUCUAGGACCCAAGCCCUCCAAGCUUGUCACCCGGGUUCAAAUCCCGGCAGCCGCACCA